UACGGAGGGUGCAAGCGUUACUCGGAAUCACUGGGCGUAAAGGGCGCGUAGGCGGGAUAGCAAGUCAGUCGUGAAAUGCCGAGGCUUAACCUCGGAGCUGCGAUUGAAACUGUUAUUCUUGAGUAUCGGAGAGGAAAGCGGAAUUCCUAGUGUAGCGGUGAAAUGCGUAGAUAUUAGGAGGAACACCAGUGGCGAAGGCGGCUUUCUGGACGACAACUGACGCUGAGGCGCGAAAGUGUGGGGAGCAAACAGG
rnacentral:rRNA from 1 species